UACGAAGGGGGCGAGCGUUGUUCGGAUUUACUGGGCGUAAAGGGCGCGCAGGCGGCGGAUCAAGUCAGGCGUGAAAGCCCCGGGCUUAACCUGGGAGGUGCGUCUGGGACUGAUUUGCUAGAGUUCGGGAGAGGAGCGUGGAAUUCCCAGUGUAGAGGUGAAAUUCGUAGAUAUGACAUAGAACAUCGAUUGCGAAGGCAGCUCGCUACACUAUGAUUGACACUGAGGCACGAAAGCGUGGGGAUCAAACAGG
rnacentral:rRNA from 1 species